rnacentral:rRNA from 1 species
UACGUAGGGGGCUAGCGUUGUCCGGAAUCAUUGGGCGUAAAGAGCGUGUAGGCGGCCCGGUAAGUCCGCUGUGAAAGUCGGGGGCUCAACCCUCGAAUGCCGGUGGAUACUGUCGGGCUAGAGUGCGGAAGAGGCGAGUGGAAUUCUUGGUGUAGCGGUGAAAUGCGCAGAUAUCAGGAGGAACACCAAUUGCGAAGGCAGCUCGCUGGGACGUAACUGACGCUGAGACGCGAAAGCGUGGGGAGCAAACAGG